GGAAAUGACAGACUCAAUGCCUGGGCACCUGCCAUCGUAGGAUUCUGGUUACGGGAUGGAGAUGCUGACAGGCCCAAUUGCUUCGGGAUCGCCAAGCUCUAGAAGAUUCUGGAGGCCAGCAACAGCAUCCAGUUUGUCAUCAAGAGGCCCGAGCUGCUCACUGAGGGAGUCAAAGAGCCCAUCGUGGAUAGUCAAGAGAGGGAUUCCGGGGACCCUCUGGUGGACGAGAGCCUGAAGAGACAGGGCUUUCAAGGGGAAGCCUUGGGAUCAAGUACCCGGUCCAGGUCCCCUACAAGUGGAUCAAGAGUAACCCCGGCUCCGUGAUCAUCGAGGGGCUGCCCCCAGGAAUCCCUUUCCGAAAGCCCUGCACCUUCGGCUCCCAGAACCUGGAGAGGAUUCUUGCUGUGGCCGACAAGAUCAAGUUCACAGUCACCAGGCCUUUCCAAGGACUCAUCCCAAAGCCUGGUAAGAGGCACUGGCUG